UACGUAGGGCGCAAGCGUGUCCGGAAUUAUUGGGCGUAAAGAGCUCGUAGGCGGUUUGUCGCGUCUGCUGUGAAAACCUGAGGCUCAACCUCGGGCUUGCAGUGGGUACGGGCAGACUAGAGUGCGGUAGGGGUGACUGGAAUUCCUGGUGUAGCGGUGGAAUGCGCAGAUAUCAGGAGGAACACCGAUGGCGAAGGCAGGUCACUGGGCCGCAACUGACGCUGAGGAGCGAAAGCAUGGGGAGCGAACAGGAUUAGAUACCCUGGUAGUCCAUGCCGUAAACGUUGGGCACUAGGUGUGGGGCUCAUUCCACGAGUUCCGUGCCGCAGCAAACGCAUUAAGUGCCCCGCCUGGGGAGUACGGCCGCAAGGCUAAAACUCAAAGAAAUUGACGGGGGCCCGCACAAGCGGCGGAGCAUGCGGAUUAAUUCGAUGCAACGCGAAGAACCUUACCAAGGCUUGACAUACACCGGAAAAGUGCAGAGAUGUGCUCCCCGCAAGGUCGGUGUACAGGUGGUGCAUGGUUGUCGUCAGCUCGUGUCGUGAGAUGUUGGGUUAAGUCCCGCAACGAGCGCAACCCUCGUCCUAUGUUGCCAGCGGGUUAUGCCGGGGACUCAUAGGAGACUGCCGGGGUCAACUCGGAGGAAGGUGGGGAUGACGUCAAAUCAUCAUGCCCCUUAUGUCUUGGGCUUCACGCAUGCUACAAUGGCCGGUACAAAGGGCUGCGAUACCGCGAGGUGGAGCGAAUCCCAAAAAGCCGGUCUCAGUUCGGAUUGGGGUCUGCAACUCGACCCCAUGAAGUCGGAGUCGCUAGUAAUCGCAGAUCAGCAACGCUGCGGUGAAUACGUUCCCGGGCCUUGCACUCACCG
rnacentral:rRNA from 1 species